AGAGUUGAUCCUGGCUUAGGAUGAACGCUAGCGACAGGCUAACACAUGCAAGUCGAGGGGCAGCACGGGAGUAGCAAUACUUGGUGGCGACCGGCGCACGGGUGAGUAACGCGUAUGCAACCUACCUAUCAGAGGGGAAUAACCCGGCGAAAGUCGGACUAAUACCGCAUAAAACAGGGGCACCGCAUGGUGAUAUUUGUUAAAGAAAUUCGCUGAUAGAUGGGCAUGCGUUCCAUUAGGUAGUUGGUGAGGUAACGGCUCACCAAGCCGACGAUGGAUAGGGAACUGAGAGGUUGGUCCCCCACACUGGUACUGAGACACGGACCAGACUCCUACGGGAGGCAGCAGUGAGGAAUAUUGGUCAAUGGGCGGGAGCCUGAACCAGCCAAGUCGCGUGAAGGAAGAAGGAUCUAUGGUUCGUAAACUUCUUUUGCAGGGGAAUAAAGUGCAGGACGUGUCCUGUUUUGUAUGUACCCUGAGAAUAAGGAUCGGCUAACUCCGUGCCAGCCGCGGC
rnacentral:rRNA from 1 species